AAAUUGAAGAGUUUGAUCAUGGCUCAGAUUGAACGCUGGCGGCAGGCCUAACACAUGCAAGUCGAACGGUAACAGGAAGAAGCUUGCUUCUUUGCUGACGAGUGGCGGACGGGUGAGUAAUGUCUGGGAAACUGCCUGAUGGAGGGGGAUAACUACUGGAAACGGUAGCUAAUACCGCAUAACGUCGCAAGACCAAAGAGGGGGACCUUCGGGCCUCUUGCCAUCGGAUGUGCCCAGAUGGGAUUAGCUAGUAGGUGGGGUAACGGCUCACCUAGGCGACGAUCCCUAGCUGGUCUGAGAGGAUGACCAGCCACACUGGAACUGAGACACGGUCCAGACUCCUACGGGAGGCAGCAGUGGGGAAUAUUGCACAAUGGGCGCAAGCCUGAUGCAGCCAUGCCGCGUGUAUGAAGAAGGCCUUCGGGUUGUAAAGUACUUUCAGCGGGGAGGAAGGGAGUAAAGUUAAUACCUUUGCUCAUUGACGUUACCC
rnacentral:rRNA from 1 species